rnacentral:rRNA from 1 species
AACGCGAAGAACCUUACCUGGGCUCGAAAUGCUAUGGACCAGCUGGUGAAAGCCGGCCUUCCCGCAAGGGACUGUAGUAUAGGUGCUGCAUGGCUGUCGUCAGCUCGUGUCGUGAGAUGUUGGGUUAAGUCCCGCAACGAGCGCAACCCUUGUCCUGUGUUGCCAUCAUUCAGUUGGGAACUCGCAGGAGACCGCCAGGGAUAACCUGGAGGAAGGUGGGGAUGACGUCAAGUCCUCAUGGCCUUUAUGUCCAGGGCUACACACGUGCUACAAUGGACGGUACAAAGGGCUGCCAACCCGCAAGGGGGAGCCAAUCCCAAAAAACCGUUCUCAGUUCGGAUUGCAGGCUGCAACUCGCCUGCAUGAAGCUGGAAUCGCUAGUAAUGGUGGAUCAGAACGCCACCGUGAAUACGUUCCCGGGCCUUGUACACACCGAGACGAC